UUUUUCACGAACAAGUGUGGUGUGGAUUAACCUUUAUGUUCAUAAAUCCACUACGUCAGAUCAAAAGAAGACGACAGGCACUGUAGGGCAGCAGGGACAAGGGGGGGUUUGCUGCGCUGCACCAUGGGAAAAGUAUUGGGCAAUAAUCUAAGAUGGGUCGCAGGGCUAAAGACACUCAGUGACAUCCCACUGAUAUUCAGACAUACCAUAGAUCCAGUAAAACUUGAUCUAUGGUAGGGCCCGGAUGUACAGGACAGCUUUGUGUAAGGAUCUGCGCCCCUGACUGGAAGGUUAUGGGUUCAAAUCCUGUGGCAGGCAGGGCCCUUCAGAACUACACGCCCAAUAUAUUCCAAUGUAGCUGGUAUAAAUUGUAAAUAAAGUAUCUAUCAUCACUCCUGCAGAGCCCCACGUCAGACUGCUUAUUCAUACGGACUGGGCGAGAAUAGAUCAGCCAGCUAGAGGUGCAGCAGUCACACGGCUGGAGUGCAACUACAUGGAUCAUGGGUCCAAGAAGAAGACCAUGCAGAUAAACCUGAGCUCCAUCAGCCGCAGUAAAAAGCACUCACAACUCAUCCCAGGACUCUAGAAGGGCUGCAGAUUCCCUGCCCGUCUCUCUGUCUUCCUGGACAACUACAUCUCACUCGAGCUUCUCGACACGGCAUCACAUCCCUGCCCAGAGACUCUCCGCCUCCCCACCACGCUCCACUCCCAGGCAAGUCACCAAGACCGCCCGCCCCUUCCUAACCAGGAAAAAGCAGCAGGCCGGCCUACCCAGAGUUCUCUGCCUCCUCUCGACAGG